rnacentral:rRNA from 1 species
CAGCAGCCACGGUAAUACGAGGGGGGCAAGCGUUGUUCGGAAUUAUUGGGCGUAAAGGGUGCGUAGGCGGCUUGACAAGUCUUGUGUGAAAUCUAUGGGCUCAACCCAUAGUCUGCACGGGAAACUGUCGGGCUUGAGAAUGGGAGAGGUGAGUGGAAUUUCCGGUGUAGCGGUGAAAUGCGUAGAUAUCGGAAGGAACACCUGUGGCGAAAGCGGCUCACUGGACCAUUUCUGACGCUGAUGCACGAAAGCUAGGGGAGCAAACAGGAUUAGAUACCCCAGUAGUCCCUGUCUCUUAUAC